CCUACGGGAGACAGCAGUGGGGAAUAUUGGGCAAUGGGCGCAAGCCUGACCCAGCAACGCCGCGUGAAGGAAGAAGGCUCUCGGGUUGUAAACUUCUUUUAUCAGGGACGAAGCAAGUGACGGUACCUGACGAAUAAGCCACGGCUAACUACGUGCCAGCAGCCGCGGUAAUACGUAGGUGGCAAGCGUUAUCCGGAUUUACUGGGUGUAAAGGGCGUGUAGGCGGGAAAGCAAGUCAGAUGUGAAAACCAUGGGCUCAACCUGUGGCCUGCAUUUGAAACUGUUUUUCUUGAGUACUGGAGAGGCAGACGGAAUUCCUAGUGUAGCGGUGAAAUGCGUAGAUAUUAGGAGGAACACCAGUGGCGAAGGCGGUCUGCUGGACAGCAACUGACGCUGAGGCGCGAAAGCGUGGGGAGCAAACAGGAUUAGAUACCCUUGUAGUC
rnacentral:rRNA from 1 species